CCUGGAGCGGCGUCCCCUCUCACGCUCCCGGGCGUGGGGACGAGGCUUCUUCCGGUGGAAAUGACUCCUUCACCCAGAGGCGGGGUCGGUGUGGGUUCUCCGCCGCAGGCGGGGACCAGAGAGCUUCGCCCCACCGUUUCUCCUUAGGCUUAAGUUCACCAAGAUGAUGUCAUUACUGUAAUGGGAUGCAGCAUACCACCCUCAAUCCCUUUGCCUCUGGAAGAAACCAGACUGCAGAGGGCAGAGUACAAAACUAAUGGAACUCAGAAUGGGAAGACAAAAAGAGCAGAAAUGGCUAGUGUGACCCAACAUGCCUGUUACAUCAAAUAUGGACUCCGCAAGCACUGGAUGUUAAAACCAAGAGCAUGGGGAAACCACUCAUAUAUGCACCGGCCAGAGGCUCUGCCCCAGAUGAGAGAAACUGGGAUUCACACAUGUUCUGCCUGCUUCUAAACUUCAGGGACAUCUGAAACAGGAGGCAGGCCCAGAUGGAGGUCCCCUCCCCAUUCAAGGGGCAAGAACUCACUGCAAGUUGCCUUGGAUUCAUCGGAGCCAUCAGGACACUCCUCCUCACCAUCACAUUUCCACCGCUCAGGGAUGCAGUGGCCAUUGUCACAGGUGAAGUCACUCUCUGAGCAGGUCUUCUUGGCUGCAGAGAAAGGAGAAGAAUGUGAAGGGCCAGGGAGAAGAAAACAAAAGGCUCUGAAAGGAGAAACAAGAAACUAUAAUGUGUGAAGAACGUAACAGAUCCUGGCACACAGCAGAUUCAGGUUGGUUCCAGCAGGAGGUGUGAGCAUAACUUUCUCGGGAGAAACUACCCCAGUGCCUUGCCCCUCCCCACCAGCUCUCCUUCAUCACACUGACCAGCCCCGACAGCCUGCAGCUGUGCCAACAACAAGCAGCUCGGAUUCUGGGACCUCCAGUAUGAUUUAGUGAGCCCGAGUUCCCAUCAAAAACUGUGGCGAUGAAGCCUGUCCUGCAGCACAGCUGGUCUUAAGAUGUGAUUCAUCAGCGCCUGGGCCGAGCCCUUAGAAACACGCAGCGUGGAAGUUUCUCCCACUUUUCUCAAUUGCUCCUCCACCUGCAGGCUAUAUAUCUAGUAGGAUUUACUAUAACCCACUGCACAGAUGAGGAAACCAAGAUAUUGAGAGGGGAGUGCUUCUGCCCAAGGUCACACAGAGUCACGGUCAAGAGGGCUAAAGGGACCACGGCCACCCACUACAUUUACUGGAGAGUCCCUGGAAGCAUCGGAAGAGCCAGUAAGGAGCUGACUGCUGUGGGACCAUGGGCCCAGUGUCCCCAUCUGUACAACUGGUCUGGCAAAGCCUGCCAGGCACAUCCCCCAGGGGAUACCGGGAGCACAGAGGCAACACGUAGAGAAGGCUCCGAACAUCACCAGUGUCUGUGCAAGGUCAGUGGCUGAUAUCGGGGCUUCUUCCUACUCAAUGCAGAAUAAAGACCCCAGCGCUGCCUCCUCUUGGGAGAAGUGAGGCCAGAAUGGGACGUGAACAGACCAAAAAAGUGCCACGAAGAAGUUGAAUAGCAGCAGGCAGUGACUGAGGUGAUGGUCCUCACUGCGGGAACGUGAGGCUGAACACUGAAGAGUCUCCAGCACGGCCGAAAUAAAGGCCUUUGUGGCACCUCAAGGCCAGUGGCCAGCAGAGGACAGUGAGCACAGGAUCACGCCCAUGGUCUCCGGGACAGGCAGUCCUCAGAGAAGCUUUGAGCUCUGUCCUGCUCCCCACCCCCAGUUCCAAGAGGCAUGUAUGUGCAGGCACUGAGGGGCCACGGGAACUGCAUUAGGCCUGGGGUCCCCAUGGCCCUGGCUCACUGGAUGGCUCUCCCCGUCACCAGAGGGUAUUUGGGGGGCCUGACAGUAUGCUGGGUUCUGCACCCCCAAAGUGGCUGGGCUGGGUCCUGCCAGGGACACAGAGGUCAGACCAGAUGCAGAGGGCAGGGAGCUCAUAGUCGGGGCCCCUCCUGAGCUGCUGUGGCCAAGAGGCUAUUCCUGAGGGUCAGGGUCUGUGACAUGCAGCAGCUUGUAAGAAGAGCUGGGUAAACACGGCUGAUAAUUGAAACAGCUGCCCGGGGCUCAGUUCACGCCAGAGGACACUCAGGUGCCAGAACUGCUCAGGAAGGUGCCAGUACACCUCCUGGCAGCGGCCGAGGGUAGAAAGGAAAGUAGGCCUGGCACACCCUGCACCCGCUGACAUUGUUGUGAGUGGGAUGUGGGGUGUGUAUCUCCUCCUUUCCCUCGCGUCGUACUCUAGCCCGACAAGCAUGGCCCAGUCCGGCCCCUGCUGGCCACGUUGAAAAGGCCUCACCUUUUAGAGGUUGGCUCUGGCUUCAGUGAGUGCACUGGUGCUACUCAAGACACUGGCUGAAGGGGUUUUGCAGGAGAAAGCCCUCAGCAGUGAGUGCGCUCAUUAACUCACACCGCAAUCAACACGGUUAUUUUAGAUGAGCUCCCCAGGGAUUCAGGGGCCAGCAGGCAGGGCCCAGCCAAGGGCUGGCAUGCCCCAGAGUGGGAGACCAAUGUCUUUUCUGCAUGCAAGAGGCCUGUGCCUGGCCCUCUGCCUAAGAAUACCUCAUUCCCAUAUCCAGCAGGAAAGCGAGGGCAAGGGUGGCCAUUGAGAAUGGCAGAGGUUGGGAGGCGGCAGCAUAGGGAUUUGAGUCCCUCCAGGAACUGAGGACACCCUAGUUCCUAUAAUAGGUCCAUGUGGCUACUUGGAGUCAAUUUUUGUUCUCCAGGACCUUGUUUUUCCCUUCUCAUGCCUGGGGCUAGAAAAGUUCCAAGCUUGCAGGGUGAAUGCGGAGAAGCUGACGUGUGAGGAUCCAGCCCACCGCCCCCAAGUCAUGAGUGCUCUGGGCUUCAGGUAACCUAGAUCACAAGGGGAGCCUGACUAUGGUUCCUGAAGGACACCCAGCUUCCUUCUGUAACCUCAAGGGCCCUUAUGGCUUUCUCUCACACCGUCCCCCAAAUGCCUCUCUCCCAGCUCCGUGGUCAUGUGGUCCCCUCUUCAAACGGCUCACAGACACUUCCAAGCAGCUGGAGCUCGUAUGGUGGACUGUGACAGGGCGCACAAAGCCCUGGGUACAUCAGGCCCACCAGGUCGAUGAGGAAGGCUUCAUGGAGGUGGCAUUGGGCUGGGUUUUGAAAGAUGGGUAGGAAUCAGAGAAGGACAAUCCAAGGCAGAGGGAAAAUCAUGUGUCAAGUCAGGGAACUGCAUGGGGUGGGGGGUGGGGA